CAUGGCGGAGGCGCGGCAUACGGCUCAGUAACACGUGGCUAACCUACCCUUGGGACGGAGACAACCCCGGGAAACUGGGGCUAAUCUCCGGUGGGUGAGGAGGCCUGGAAUGGUUCCUCGCUGAAAGGGCGCUGAAACCAUGCUUUUCGGCGUUGCCCAAGGAUGGGACCGCGGCCGAUCAGGUUGUUGGUGGGGUAACGGCUCACCAAGCCUUUGACCGGUACGGGCCGCGAGAGCGGGAGCCUGGAGAUGGGCACUGAGACAAGGGCCCAGGCCCUACGGGGUGCAGCAGGCGCGAAAACUCCGCAAUGCGCGAAAGCGUGACGGGGCUAUCCCGAGUGCCGUCCGCUGAGGAUGGCUUUUCCCCGGUGUAAGGAGCCGUGGGAAUAAGGAGAGGGCAAGCCUGGUGUCAGCCGCCGCGGUAAUACCAGCUCUCCGAGUGGUACGGACGGUUAUCGGGCUUCGAGCGUCCGUAGCCGGCUCGGUAAGUCUCUCGUUAAAUCCAGCGACCUAAUCGUUGGACUGCGGGAGAUACUGUCGGGCUAGGGGGCGGGAGAAGCCGAUGGUAUCCCGGGGUAGGGGUGAAAUCCUAUAAUCCCGGGAGGACCACCAGUGGCGAAGGCGGUCGGCUAGAACGCGCUCGACGGUGAUGGACGAAAGCUGGGGGAGCGAACCGGAUUAGAUACCCGGGUAGUCCCAGCCGUAAACGAUGCGGGCUAGGUGUUGGGGAGGCUACGAGCCUCUUCAGUGCCGCAGCGAAAACGUUAAGCCCGCCGCCUGGGGAGUACGGCCGCAAGGCUGAAACUUAAAGGAAUUGGCGGGGGAGCACCACAAGGGGUGAAGCUUGCGGUUCAAUUGGAGUCAACGCCGGGAACCUUACCGGGGGCGACAGCAGGAUGAAGGCCAGAUUGAAGGUCUUGCCAGACGAGCUGAGAGGAGGUGCAUGGCCGUCGCCAGUUCGUGCCGUGAGGUGUCCUGUCAAGUCAGGCAACGAUCGAGACC
rnacentral:rRNA from 1 species